rnacentral:rRNA from 1 species
UACAGAGGUCUCAAGCGUUGUUCGGAUUCAUUGGGCGUAAAGGGUGCGUAGGCGGCGCGGUAAGUCGGGUGUGAAAUCUCGGGGCUUAACUCCGAAACUGCAUUCGGAUACUGCCGUGCUUGAGGACUGGAGAGGAGACUGGAAUUUACGGUGUAGCGGUGAAAUGCGUAGAUAUCGUGAAGGAAGACCAGUGGCGAAGGCGG